GGGCCUGUAGCUCAGUUGGGAGAGCAUUCGGUUCGCAUCCGAAAGGUCAUGGGUUCAACCCCCACCAGGUCCACCA
rnacentral:tRNA from 1 species